UUCUAAGGGCGUUGAAGCAUGAUCGCAAGGACAUGUGGAGCGCUUAGAAGUGAGAAUGCCGGUGUGAGUAGCGAAAGACGGGUGAGAAUCCCGUCCACCGAUUGACUAAGGUUUCCAGAGGAAGGCUCGUCCGCUCUGGGUUAGUCGGGUCCUAAGCUGAGGCCGACAGGCGUAGGCGAUGGAUAACAGGUUGAUAUUCCUGUACCACCAUUA
rnacentral:rRNA from 1 species